AAAGUCGGGGCCUAAGGCGAGGUCGAAAGACGUAGUCGAUGGAUAACAGGUUGAAAUUCCUGUACUAUCCUGUAACAGAACUGUGGGGACGCAGACAGAGAGCACAAGCCGGGAAUGGAAAGACCGGUGCAAGCGAGGUAGGAGUACAUCAGGCAAAUCCGGUGUGCAAUCCGAAGACGUGACGCGGAUCGAAAAGAAGUAGAGAAGUGUGUGAGCUGGCUGCCAAGAAAAGCCGCUAUUGUUUACAGGAUACCCGUACCGUAAACCGACACAGGUGGAUGAGGAGAGAAUCCUAAGGCCGACGGGAGAAGCAUUGUUAAGGAACUCGGCAAAAUGACUCCGUAACUUCGGGAGAAGGAGUGCCAUGCGAAUGGCCGCAGAGAAUUGGCCCAAGCAACUGUUUAGCAAAAACACAGGUCUAUGCGAAACCGAAAGGUGAGGUAUAUGGGCUGACGCCUGCCCGGUGCUGGAAGGUUAAGGGGAGAGGUUAGCGCAAGCGAAGCUUUGAACUUAAGCCCCAGUAAACGGCGGCCGUAACGAUAACGGUCCUAAGGUAGCGAAAUUCCCUGUCGGGUAAGUUCCGACCCGCACGAAAGGCGUAAUGAUUUGGGCACUGUCUCAACAAUGCACCCGGUGAAAUUGAAAUACCAGUGAAGAUGCUGGUUACCUGCGCCAGGACGGAAAGACCCCAUGGAGCUUUACUCUAGCUUGAUACUGGGAUUCGAUAUUGCAUGUACAGGAUAGGUGGGAGACUAGGAAGUGGUGACGCCAGUUGCCAUGGAGUCAAUGUUGGGAUACCACCCUUGCAGUAUUGGGUUUCUAACCAGCAGCCGUGAUCCGGCUGGGGGACAAUGUCAGGUGGGGAGUUUGACUGGGGCGGUCGCCUCCGAAAGGGUAUCGGAGGCGCUCAAAGGUUCCCUCAGAAUGGUUGGAAACCAUUCGAAGAGUGCAAAGGCAGAAGGGAGCUUGACUGCGACACCGACGGGUGGAGCAGGUACGAAAGUAGGACUUAGUGAUCCGGUGGUAUAAAGUGGGAUUGCCAUCGCUCAACGGAUAAAAGCUACCCUGGGAUAACAGGCUUAUCACUCCCAAGAGUUCACAUCGACGGAGUGGUUUGGCACCUCGAUGUCGGCUCAUCGCAUCCUGGGGCUGUAGUCGGUCCCAAGGGUUGGGCUGUUCGCCCAUUAAAGCGGUACGCGAGCUGGGUUCAGAACGUCGUGAGACAGUUCGGUCCCUAUCCGGCGUGGGCGUAGGAUAUUUGAGAGGAGCUGCCCUUAGUACGAGAGGACCGGGGUGGACUGGCCGCUGGUGUAUCUGUUGUAUUACCAAGUGCAUAGCAGAGUAGCCAAGCCGGGAAGGGAUAAACGCUGAAGGCAUCUAAGCGUGAAGCCCCCCUCAAGAUGAGAUAUCCCAUAACGUCAAGUUAGUAAGACCCCUUGAAGACGACGAGGUAGAUAGGGCAGAGGUGGAAGUGUGGUAACACAUGGAGCUGACUGUUACUA
rnacentral:rRNA from 1 species